rnacentral:rRNA from 1 species
AUUGAACGCUGGCGGCAGGCCUAACACAUGCAAGUCGAGCGGAAACGAGUUAUCUGAACCUUCGGGACGAUAACGGCGUCGAGCGGCGGACGGGUGAGUAAUGCCUAGGAAUUGCCCUGGUGUGGGGGAUAACCAUUGGAAACGAUGGCUAAUACCGCAUAAUACCUUCGGGUCAAAGAGGGGGACCUUCGGGCCUCUCGCGUCAGGAUAUGCCUAGGUGGGAUUAGCUAGUUGGUGAGGUAAUGGCUCACCAAGGCGACGAUCCCUAGCUGGUCUGAGAGGAUGAUCAGCCACACUGGAACUGAGACACGGUCCAGACUCCUACGGGAGGCAGCAGUGGGAAUAUUGGCACAAUGGGCNCAAGCCUGAUGCAGCCAUGCCGCGUGUGUGAAAAGGCCUUGG